GAGUUUGAUCCUGGCUCAGAUUGAACGCUGGCGGCAUGCUUUACACAUGCAAGUCGAACGGCAGCGGGGAAGUGCUUGCACUUCUGCCGGCGAGUGGCGAACGGGUGAGUAAUAUAUUGGAACGUACCGAGUAGCGGGGGAUAACUGUCCGAAAGGAUGGCUAAUACCGCAUACGCUCUGAGGAGGAAAGCUGGGGACCUUCGGGCCUGGCACUAUUCGAGCGGCCAAUAUCUGAUUAGCUAGUUGGUGGGGUAAGAGCCCACCAAGGCGACGAUCAGUAGCGGGUCUGAGAGGAUGAUCCGCCACACUGGAACUGAGACACGGUCCAGACUCCUACGGGAGGCAGCAGUGGGGAAUUUCGGACAAUGGGGGCAACCCUGAUCCAGCCAUGCCGCGUGUAUAAAGAAGGCCUUCGGGUUGUAAAGUACUUUUGUUGGGGAAGAAAAGCCUGCCGUUAAUAGCGGCGGGUCAUGACGGUACCCAAAGAAUAAGCACCGGCUAACUACGUGCCAGCAGCCGCGGUAAUACGUAGGGUGCAAGCGUUAAUCGGAAUUACUGGGCGUAAAGCGAGCGCAGACGGUUAUUUAAGUCAGGUGUGAAAUCCCCGAGCUCAACUUGGGAAUGGCGCUUGAAACUGGGUAACUAGAGUGUGUCAGAGGGAGGUAGAAUUCCACGUGUAGCAGUGAAAUGCGUAGAGAUGUGGA
rnacentral:rRNA from 1 species